GGGCCCGCACAAGCGGUGGAGCAUGUGGUUUAAUUCGAAGCAACGCGAAGAACCUUACCAGGUCUUGACAUCCUUUGACCACCCUAGAGAUAGGGCUUUCCCUUCGGGGACAAAGUGACAGGUGGUGCAUGGUUGUCGUCAGCUCGUGUCGUGAGAUGUUGGGUUAAGUCCCGCAACGAGCGCAACCCUUGUCUUUAGUUGCCAUCAGGUCAUGCUGGGCACUCUAGAGAGACUGCCGGGGAUAACUCGGAGGAAGGUGGGGAUGACGUCAAAUCAUCAUGCCCCUUAUGUUCUGGGCUACACACGUGCUACAAUGGCCGGUACAAUGAGAAGCAAUAUCGCGAGGUGGAGCAAAUCACCAAAACCGGUCCCAGUUCGGAUUGCAGGCUGAAACCCGCCUGCAUGAAGUCGGAGUUGCUAGUAAUCGCGAAUCAGAAUGUCG
rnacentral:rRNA from 1 species